AGUGGAGCUAACAGAGAGAGUUAACAUCAUCAUGAAGGGAAGUGGAGCUAACAGAGAGAGUUAACAUCAUCAUGGAGGGAAGUGGAGCUAACAGAGAGAGUUAACAUCAUCAUGGAGGGAAGUGGAGCUAACAGAGAGAGUUAACAUCAUCAUGAAGGGAAGUGCAUAGUGGAGCUAACAGAGAGAGUUAACAUCAUCAUGAAGGGAAGUGGAGCUAACAGAGAGAGUUAACAUCAUCAUGAAGGGAAGUGGAGCUAACAGAGAGAGUUAUCAUCAUCAUGAAGGGAAGUGGAGCUAACUGAGAGAGUUAUCAUCAUCAUGAAGGGAAGUGGAGCUAACAGAGAGAGUUAACAUCAUCAUGGAGGGAAGUGGAGCUAACAGAGAGAGUUAUCAUCAUGGAGGGAAGUGCAUAGUGGAGCUAACAGAGAGAGUUAACAUCAUCAUGGAGGGAAGUGGAGCUAACAGAGAGAGUUAACAUCAUCAUGGAGGGAAGUGGAGCUAACAGAGAGAGUUAACAUCAUCAUGGAGGGAAAUGGAGCUAACAGAGAGAGUUAACAUCAUCAUGAAGGGAAGUGGAGCUAAC
ensembl:lncRNA